rnacentral:rRNA from 1 species
GAUGAACGCUAGCGGCAGGCCUAACACAUGCCAGUCGAGGGGGAAGUUACUUUCGGGUGACUGAGACCGGCGUACGGGUGCGUAACGCGUAUACAAUCUGCCUUUCACUGGGGGAUAGCCCGAAGAAAUUUGGAUUAAUACCCCAUAGUAUAUAGGGACGGCAUCGUUUUUAUAUUAAAGCUUAGGUGGUGAAAGAUGAGUAUGCGUUCUAUUAGCUAGUUGGAGAGGUAACGGCUCCCCAAGGCGAUGAUAGAUAGGGGUUCUGAGAGGGAUGUCCCCCACACUGGUACUGAGAUACGGACCAGACUCCUACGGGAGGCAGCAGUGAGGAAUAUUGGACAAUGGUCGGAAGACUGAUCCAGCCAUGCCGCGUGCAGGAUGAAGGUCUUAUGGAUUGUAAACUGCUUUUGGAAGGGAAGAAUAAGGGCUACGCGUAGUUUGAUGACGGUACCUUACGAAUAAGCAUCGGCUAACUCCGUG